UUGGUAGGCCUCUGCUCUGUAUCAUUUCUCAUGUAGUUCAUUUGUUGGUCCAUAAUCAUCAGUUUACACAUUCAGCUGCUUAUUCUGAUAAGUAGAAAUCAUGCUGUCAGUUUAGCAGGAGGAGCAUGGGUGGGAUUAUCUUCUCCCAUGGUGAGCCUGAACUGUGCUUCUUCAUGGGACAGAGCACAGUUUGGUCCAUGCAUUUAAGUCCAUUAUGGGGAAGAGGAAAUGCUG